GGGAGUAUAGCUAAAUGGCAGGGCACUCGACUGCAGAUCGAGAGGUCGGUGGAUCAAAUUCGCCCGCUCCUU